CAUUAUCGUACAACCGAGGUGCGGAGGGCUGUCGCUGACUUUUGUCGUGCACGCCCAAAGUGCUCUCAAACAAUAUCCAUCUCACCCAUUUGUGCAUCAUCGCGUGGGUCCUGCUUUUUGGCUUGUCCCAAGGAGGGGGGCUCGCGUUUUCACACAAACACCCUUUUAAUGCAGUGUAGAAUGUUCUUUUGCGAUGACUCGCAAUAAAUACAACUUUCAACAACGGAUCUCUUGGCUCUCGCAUCGAUGAAGAACGCAGCGAAAUGCGAUACGUAAUGUGAAUUGCAGAAUUCAGUGAAUCAUCGAAUCUUUGAACGCACCUUGCGCCCCUUGGCAUUCCGAGGGGCACACCCGUUUGAGUGUCGUGACAUUCUCAAAAAGAACCCUUCUUGGUCUUGCGAUCGGGAAAGGCUUUUUUUUGGACUUUGGAGGUUAUUGCUGGUCCCCCCUUGAUAGCCAGCUCCUCUUAAAUGAAUUAGUAGGGACCGCUUUGCUGACCCUAGACGUGAUAAGAUGUUUCUGCGUCUUGGGGUAUUCGCUCUGUCCUUUGGAAACCUGCUUCUAACCGUCUUGUCAAAAGACAGCGUUCGAGCCUUUCUUGUUGAUCGGGGAAGGCUUGACUCAUGAACCUUGACCUCAAAUCGGGUGAGACUACCCGCUGAACUUAAGCAUAUCAU
rnacentral:sRNA from 1 species